ACUUACUGAGAUGUUACAAAUCAGAUACACAUAAUUGUUGUUGAGAACCCCAAGCACUAAAAGAUCUUCAUAGUGCACAACCUUAGCUGGAUUUAUAUUAUCGGCAAAUUAUAGUUCAGCUUUUUUGUUGUGAAAAGAAUAGAAAGAAAGAGAGAUUUGAGAGAAAAUUUGUAUAUAUUUUCAUUCACAACAAUACAGAUAUAUUUGUACACAUUACAAAUAGUAAGGGGACUCCUAUUGUACUUAG
rnacentral:misc_RNA from 1 species